UUCGAGAGAAGAAUAUGACGAGCUGGAUGAGGAACAAGAAGCUCUUGACGAUUCCAUGGAAGCUGUCUGGGUUUCGUUCAAGCUCUUGCUCAGAUUCUUCUCCUGCAUGUUAAAUUGAUAUCUGUCAAUCUUCUAUCGAUAGAGAAUAAAACAAUAGUAAGUAUGCUGAGGCUGAUACUUUACCUGAAGAAUCUGUGAAAAGCGUGGUUUUUGCUCUGACUCUUGUCUUCCAUUCUUUGGAAGAACAUGUCCUACCCAAGAACAAGAUCAAUAUUUCGUUAGGAUCUAACUCCAAAACUACAGUCUGCAGCAUAGACACAUAUCAGGGUAUCCAUUUUAAUUUGGUGGUAACAAUUUGAUGAUUCAAUUUGACAAUUGUCAAAAGAUGAGCACUUAAAUGGUCAUCAUUGAUGCUCAAUCGACACUUUUUCAGAACAAGAAUUUCUCCAUGAUAUUAGUUAUUUGUAAUACAGGAUCGAGGCAGUAUUAUUGUAUUAGUGGCUCAAGGCUUUACAAUCAUCAAAUUCUCCAUGUAUGUUCCUCAGGGGAUCCAACAGAAUCACAGAAGGAUCAGAAUCUUCAAAAUUAAAUUUGAGUUUGCUGAUGAUACAAACGCCUCGACAAGGAGUCUCAUAAUUGAUUCAGCAAGAACCAGUUGGUACCUGAUGGAAGCUUCCUAUGGUUGUGAUCAUUGAGGCGCUUCCCAAUGAGGAGAUGGUGGCGGUCAAACAUCUGAAAGAUUCCGGCGAUGCACCCAAUUUGCUUCUGCAGAUCCAUAUUCUCAUCCGUGAACGCAUCGAGCAACUUGGCACGCAUUCUGAGCCGCUUUGAUUCCACGACUUCAAUAUAAGGCUCACAAAAAGGGAUCUGUUUUCUCGCUCUAGUGUUGGUCGAGUUCUGCAAGGGAAGGCAUGAGCAAACUGUGGGUUUAAGAAACCAAUUGUUGGGGAGGGUUCUGAGUAUAUGGUGAUAGAUUCGAGCUGGGAAGAAUGGAAUCGAAGAGGCUAUGUUGAAGAUGGCUGUGAGGGGCCUUCCUCGCACCUCGCGGGUCUUUAAGCAGCUUGCAUGGGCAUGUGAUGGCGGUCAGGAAGUACAGAGCAUGGUCGACUGCAAAUUGUUACCAGUAUCGUUCUCAGACUCUCCCUCCCUUCUUCUUUACCUGCUGUCAUUUUUAUGCACCAUGAUACGUGUCCAUACUCGAACACAAUCAAUUGGUUCAUUUAACUGUGACUCCAACAAGGUGGUCCUACGAACAGUUAGUGAAGGCAGCCAUCUGGAUUGUCUGCCAUUGCAGAAACUGUCGAAUCUAAACCAGUAGAAUGAAUGUUUCUUUGUACAGUAAAGAAGCUGUGACACACUA